UGGCCCCUCGUCCAAUGGCAGGACAGCGGACUUUGGAUCCGUCAAUCUAGGUUCGAAUCCUAGGGGGCCAA
rfam:Gemmatimonadetes bacterium 13_2_20CM_2_65_7 13_2_20cm_2_scaffold_313, whole genome shotgun sequence.